rnacentral:rRNA from 1 species
ACUCCUACGGGAGGCAGCAGUGGGGAAUAUUGCACAAUGGGCGCAAGCCUGAUGCAGCCAUGCCGCGUGUGUGAAGAAGGCCCUUCGGGUUGUAAAGCACUUUCAGUUGUGAGGAAGGUGGUGUCGUUAAUAGCGGCAUCAUUUGACGUUAGCAACAGAAGAAGCACCGGCUAACUCCGUGCCAGCAGCCGCGGUAAUACGGAGGGUGCGAGCGUUAAUCGGAAUUACUGGGCGUAAAAGCGCAUGCAGGUGGUUUGUUAAGUCAGAUGUGAAAGCCCGGGGCUCAAUCUCGGAACUGCAUUUGAAACUGGCAGACUAGAGUACUGUAGAGGGGGGUAGAAUUUCAGGUGUAGCGGUGAAAUGCGUAGAGAUCUGAAGGAUACCGGUAGGCGAAAGGCGGCCCCCUGGACAGAUACUGACACUCAGAUAGCGAAAGCGUGGGGAGCAAACAGGAUUAGAUACCCUGGUAGCACAGAG